AGAGAGUGAGCUGUCACUCAGCCUGGAGUGCAGUGGCAUGAUCAUGGCUGACUGCAGCCUUGACCUCCCAGGCGCUAGUGAUCCUCCCACCUUAGUCUCCUGAGUAGUUGAGACUACAGGCGUGUGCCACCAAUUUUUGUAGUUUUUGUAGAGACAGUGUUUGCCAUGUUGCCCAGGCUGGUCUUAAACUCUUAGGCUCAAACAAUUCAUCUGCUUCAGUCACCCAAAGUGCUGGGAUUGCCACCGCACUCAGCUCAGUCAUUUUUCUGGAAUAAAGCUCUUUGGAUUAUUGCAAGCAUUUGGUUGAUUUCUAGAGUUCUGAAAAAGUUGGAUUUUGACAGUUUUUGAUAGUGUUCUUGCUGCUUUUUUAGAAGAAUGGAUUUUCAGAGGUCUUUACCAUUCCGGCAAUCGGUCUCCUUACAGGUUUUUUUGGAGGGAAAAUUUUUAUAUCCUAAAAUACAAAAGUCAUGUGUCCUUGCAUUUUGACAAGAUACAGAACAUUUCUAUCACCUAUGAAAGUUGACUUGUUCCUCUUACCAGUAAAUUUACCACAUCCUCAGAGGCAAUAACUGUUCUGACCUGUCAUCAUUGAUGAGUUGUUCCUGUUCUAGAACUUGGGGAAUCACAGAGUAUCUGCUCUUUUUUUUAAUCAGCCUUCUUUUACUUAGUAUAAUAUCUGUGAGCAUCAUCCAUGUUGUUGCAUAUAUCAGCACUUUCGUUUUCUCCUUUUUAUGCUGAAAAGUAUUCUAUAAUAAGAAUGUAUCAUAGUUUUAUGUUUUUGUUUUUGAGGCAGAGCCUCAUUAUGUUGCCCAGGCUGGGGUGCGGUGGCGCUAUCUCGGCUCACUGCAACUUCCACCUCCUGGGUUCAAGUGAUUCUCCUGCCUCAGUCUCCUGAGUAGCUGGGACUACAGGCACCGCCACUAUGCCCAGCUAACUUUUGUAUUUUUAGUAGAGAGGGAGCAAACUCUGUUGGCCAGGUUGGUUUCGAACUCCUGACCUUAAGCGAUCUGCCUGCCUCAGCCUCCCAAAGUGCUGGGAUUACAGGCGUGAGCCACACACCUGGCCUUAUAUCAUACUUUUUUGGAUUCAUUUGUUCAUGGACAUUUGGCACAAAGUCACCAGUAGCAAAAAAAAUUGCUAGUUGUAGGCCCCCUCUUGCCUGAGAUGUCCCAUCUGGGUUUUAUCAUCUACCUGAAGUGGCUCUGCAGUAGCUUUUUUUAGCAGGGACCCUACCAAAGUGACUUUUGAUAGGUUAAUUUACUUCAGAUCAGCUGCACCAAGCAGAUUUACAAAUAUGUUGGUUGUGUUUUCUUUGCUGCAUUAUACAAUUUCUUCUUGUCCUAGGUUUGUAAAUUCUUAGCCCACUUUGGCAGUGAAAGGCAUAUUUCCCAAUGUUUAUUUAUCUCUGUGGUUAUCCUCUGAUUCAGAUGUUGUUAAAUUUUCCUCUUUGCCUUUGGAACCAAACUGUUAAAACGGAAACUCCUAUCCUAUAACAGAAAUCAGAAUGCAUGGUCCU
rnacentral:lncRNA from 1 species